rnacentral:sRNA from 1 species
CCCUCCAUUUUUUUUUCUACCAAAGAAAUCGUAUGUGGGAUCCCAAACCACAAAAUAACCGUUCCUGUGGUUAAUACUACUAUAAUGCCUGAAGUGUCUUUUGGGAUCCUGAGAACAGAGUUUGAAAACAUUACUAGACAGAAGGAUUGGUUAGAUUCAUAGUUUUGUUGUUGAGUGAAACUUGCUUAUGUAUAUAUUUAUGAUAUUUUGGAUGUAGUCUUUUGAUUGUUUAAAUCUUAAAAAGUAAUGGGAUCUUUUGACACUGGGGUAUGUUUUAUUUUUAUGUGUGUAAAUUUUAACCAUAUUCUUUUCUAGUUAAAGAGGAAAAAGCAAGUUGCUCCAGAAAAACCUGUAAAGAAACAAAAGACAGGUGAAACUUCGAGAGCCCUGUCAUCUUCUAAACAGAGCAGCAGCAGCAGAGAUGAUAACAUGUUUCAGAUUGGGAAAAUGAGGUACGUUAGUGUUCGCGAUUUUAAAGGCAAAGUGCUAAUUGAUAUUAGAGAAUAUUGGAUGGAUCCUGAAGGUGAGAUGAAACCAGGAAGAAAAGGUAUUUCUUUAAAUCCAGAACAGUGGAGCCAGCUGAAGGAACAGAUUUCUGACAUUGAUGAUGCAGUAAGAAAACUGUAAAAUUCGAGC